ensembl:lncRNA
CCUUAUCUCUUCUAACUCCAUUUCUUGCCUCUAGGGUGACUGGCUUCAUAGCUCCAGGUUCCAGGGGCUGCCAGGAAGCAAGAGGGCUCCCCGAACACGCCAGUUACCUUGUAUCAGCGCCUCCCUUGGAUUCGUGUUCUCAAAACCUUAUCACAGUUUGAAACUGUGGAAAAUCAAUUACGUGCUUUGAAUUACUCCCUGCCCUGGCACCAAAGUGUUUCUUCAUUCUUUCCGGACAGUGAACACUUUGCAACAUCUACCAACGAACAGUCUGUUAGGAUUCUCUGCUAAAUGGAUGUCAGACAAAUAAACGGAACAGAAGGCUGGUGGAAUGCUAAACAUCCCUGCUCCCCUCUGCUGUGGCCGCCGUGCAGCUUGGGACCUUUCUGACUUGCUGCUCAACAUCUGGACGGCAUUCGCGUUGCUUCUCAAGGACACAGGCAUGCACCUCCGGUGAAUUUCAACUUUCAACAUCUCUCUGGCUCUAAUCUAUAUUUAAUGUUUCAUGACUGGUAGUCAAAGAAGCUUCAGCUAAAUAUCAGGUUGGAAUGAAAAUGAUCCUUGGGAGAACAUUUGCUUCCAGCGUGCGCCAGCAAAGUGUCUGUGACAGAAGCUUUCCCCAGAGAUGUGUCGCCCAUUCUCUUGCAGUAAUAAUAAUUACGCCUUAUGAUUGCUGUGCCCACAUAAUCAAAGAUCGCUUCGUCAAAUGUGGUCCCAAGGGGCCGCUGCCUCCGCUCCUAGCGGGAUGUCAGUCACAGAGAGCAGCACCCCUAGGGAUCCCCAAUCUUUCGCUUGCCCUUUUCAGUCCCGUGUUGUUAGCAUUGUGUUUCUUCAUUUUCUUCUCGAUGCAAAUGAUGUGUAAAUCAUGCCCUCCAGAAGGCACAUGUGGUGAGGGGGAGAGGGUGGGCAGGGGGUGGGGCUGGUGUAUUCUUCUCCCCCAGCCCCCCUCCCCAACCUACCACAGGGAUUUCUGGCAUGGAACAUAAUUACAUCUGUGCCAUAUGGGCUCAUUUAUAUUCUAUUACAGGUUAAGCUAAUACGACUCAGAAAUAUGCUAAAAAUACCUCAAAGUAUUCUAGAGCUGUCAAAACACUUGUCAUGUCUUGCUCACCCUUUUGAUUGCUAGUGUUUUUGUUUUUGUUGGGAGAUUCAGAGAGCUAAGAAAGCAUGGUGGCAUGAUGGUGUCCAGUCUAUAAAUAUAGUUUAAUUUCCUGUAUUAUUGCAAUCCGCGGGCUUGCAAAGAAAAGAUCUUUCUUAAUAAACCUGGAAUGGCCCCAAGACAUGGGCAAUGA